CAGUCGCCGCGGUAAUACGUAGGUGGCAAGCGUUAUCCGGAAUUAUUGGGCGUAAAGCGCGCGUAGGCGGUUUCUUAAGUCUGAUGUGAAAGCCCACGGCUCAACCGUGGAGGGUCAUUGGAAACUGGGAAACUUGAGUGCAGAAGAGGAAAGUGGAAUUCCAUGUGUAGCGGUGAAAUGCGCAGAGAUAUGGAGGAACACCAGUGGCGAAGGCGACUUUCUGGUCUGUAACUGACGCUGAUGUGCGAAAGCGUGGGGAUCAAACAGGAUUAGAUACCCGAGUAGUCCCUGUCUCUUAUAU
rnacentral:rRNA from 1 species